UAGAGUAAUGCGUGACCAACCUGCCCAUGCUCCAGAAUAGCUCUUGGAAACGGGUGGUAAUGCUGGAUGCUCCAACUUGACGCAUGUCUUGUUGGGAAAGUGUUUAGUGGCAUGGGAUGGGGUCGCGUCCUAUCAGCUUGUAGGCGGGGUAAUGGCCCACCUAGGCUUCGACGGGUAGCCGGCCUGAGAGGGCGGACGGCCACAUUGGGACUGAGAUACGGCCCAGACUCCUACGGGAGGCAGCAGCC
rnacentral:rRNA from 1 species